UUUCCGGUUGAUCCUGCCGGACCUGACUGCUAUCGGAUUGAUACUAAGCCAUGCGAGUCUUUGUAGUAAUACAAGGCAGACGGCUCAGUAACGCGUAGUCAACCUACCCUAUGGACGGGAAUAAUCUCGGGAAACUGAGCAUAAUACCCGGCGUACCACCAUUCCUGGAAUGGUUGGUGGUUAAAAUGAUUCGUCGCCGUAGGAUGGGACUGCGACCUAUCAGCUUGUUGGUGAGGUAAAGGCCCACCAAGGCGAUUACAGGUACGGGCUCUGAGAGGAUAAGCCCGGAGAUGGGUACUGAGACACGGACCCAGGCCCUAUGGGGCGCAGCAGGCGAGAAAACUUUGCAAUGUGCGAAAGCACGACAAGGUUAAUCCGAGUGAUUUCUGUUAAAGGAAUCUUUUGCCAGUUCUAAAAAUACUAGUGAAUAAGGGGUGGGCAAGUUCUGGUGUCAGCCGCCGCGGUAAAACCAGCACCUCAAGUGGUCAGGAGGAUUAUUGGGCCUAAAGCAUCCGUAGCCUGCUCUGUAAGUUUUCGGUUAAAUCUAUAUGCUCAACGUAUAGGCUGCCGAAAAUACUGCAGUGCUAGGAAGUGGGAGAGGUAGACGGUACUUGAUAGGAAGGGGUAAAAUCCUUUGAUCUAUCGAUGACCACCUGUGGCGAAGGCGGUCUACCAGAACACGUUCGACGGUGAGGGAUGAAAGCUGGGGGAGCAAACCGGAUUAGAUACCCGGGUAGUCCCAGCUGUAAACGAUGCAGACUCGAUGAUGCAUUGGCAUAUAGCCAGUGCAGUGUCGCAGGGAAGCCGUUAAGUCUGCCGCCUGGGAAGUACGU
rnacentral:rRNA from 1 species